rnacentral:lncRNA from 1 species
CUUGGAAUUUAUUUUUAGCAUCUAUGUGCACUCAGGAGCAACCAUAGCAACGAAGGCACCUGAAAGUACCUGCAGGGGCUGGACAGAGGGGCAAACACUUGUCUACACAGGGAGUUAACAGCACGCUGGAUACAAGCAUCACCAGAUAGGAAUAAAGUGUGACCAGCCUGGUCUGCCCCACUGCAGGGUCUCUCAUUGAGCAUGGAGCUCACCAAAUAUGCUAUGCUAGCUGGCCAGUGAGCCCCGGAGAUUCACCUUCCCAGCACUAGGAUUACAAGUAUGUACCACCAUACUCUUUUUUCCCAUGGGUUCUAUGGCUUGAACUUAAGUCCUCAGAUCUGUAUAGGAAGCACAUUACAAACAGAGCCAUCUCCCCAACUCAUGUGUCAUGACUUAUGACUCAUUCCUUCACAAGACUGCAAGAGUUCCUACCACAAGAGAAGACAUGAAGACCAUUAGGCUUGGAGAAGGGCUUCACAGGUAUGCAUCAGAUUUUCUCAUCACAGCAAGGUCAAUAUCAAAAGUUUCAACCUUCUUUCCAAAGAACCAGUACAAAGGCGGCUGAGGACAUGAUGCUGACUCACAGGGCAUGGUCAGCCCACAUUGACUACAGGAGACCCCAGAGUCUGCAAAGACUAGAGCUUGGACUAAUCACCCAUGACUCCUUCCCAGGUCUUUGCCUUCCAGAUAGGUGGUCAAGGACCCUGAGACAACUUAGUAAACUCACUGGUUCCCAAACUUCUGCAUCAAAUUCUCUGGGCUGACAAAGAAAAAAUGUAACUUUCAUUCAAAGGGAGUAAGAGACAGUUCAUUCUAGAGCCAAGUAUGAAUGGCCAUAACCUGGGAACACAGACUCAAGUUUCCCUGAAUACCACUGUCCAGGGUGGUAACAGUUUCAUGAAGUUUUUAUAGUUAUAGAACAAAGAAAGCCAUAAAUCAAGGAAUUUUUAAAAUACAUCCAUGGGAUCACCAGGCAGUGGUUUGUAAUAUAGUGGGGAGUCUCUGUGGCAGGCUUCAGAUCUGACGACAUUUUUAGCCUAGGGACCUGUCUGUCAUUCCAACGAAAUUUACCUAGUAGUCCUAAGGAUAUUAGGUUUAACACAGAGGUGGACAAUGAAUGGCUAUCAAGGGGACUAAAGAUACCCUAGCAUACUUUGACUCCCAAUUUGCAACAUUCCAGCAGCCCAUCAGCCUCGUGGCAUGGUUACCACAAAUGUGGCUUGUUGUUUUCAGAGACCUCCAGUACUGGAAAACUCAAGCAGGGAUUUUUAAAAGAGCCCAGCCUGCACCUUCAGGAUAAGAGUCUUGGCUUUCUAGUCUUCACACUUGAGACUGAGGGCUAUGCCCUUCCCUUCCCAACAUGAAGUUUACUCCCUCUGCUUCUUUGGAAACACACACAGGGAAGGUACUGUAUCUAAUUUUAUAGUUUAUAAAGGGGGCUGACUCAAGGAAGCAACUGACAUGUCAGCCCAGUGUUGGCCAUUUUACCAUGGCUUUGCUUGGGCGUUGUUCACAUUAACCACAGAAA